AAUCAAGCGUCUUAAGGGCAUCUGGUGGAUGCCUUGGCGCGCAGAGGCGAUGAAGGACGUGGCACGCUGCGAUAAGCCAUGGGGAGCUGUGAGCAAGCUUUGAUCCGUGGAUUUCCGAAUGGGGCAACCCACCCGCAAGGGUAUCGUCACCUGAAUACAUAGGGUGGCGAAGCGAACCCAGGGAACUGAAACAUCUCAGUACCUGGAGGAAAGGACAUCAACCGAGACUCCGCUAGUAGUGGCGAGCGAACGCGGACUAGGCCAAUGCCUCAAGUCUUCUAACUGGAACCGUCUGGAAAGUCGGGCCUCAGCGGGUGAUAGCCCCGUACAGGUGUUGAAGGUUUGUGGAUACGAGUAGGGCGGGACACGUGAAAUCCUGUCUGAACAUGGGGGGACCACCCUCCAAGCCUAAGUACUCCUGCGCGACCGAUAGUGCACCAGUACCGUGAGGGAAAGGUGAAAAGCACCCCGACGAGGGGAGUGAAAUAGUACCUGAAACCGGAUGCCUACAAACAGCUGGAGCCCGCAAGGGUGACAGCGUACCUUUUGUAUAAUGGGUCAGCGACUUAAUCUGGCGAGCAAGCCUAAGCCGAUAGGUGUAAGCGAAGCGAAAGCGAGUCUGAACAGGGCGUUCAGUUCGUCGGAUUAGACCCGAAACCGGGUGAUCUAGCCAUGAGCAGGCUGAAGGUAAGGUAACACUUACUGGAGGGCCGAACCCACGUCUGUUGAAAAAGACGGGGAUGACUUGUGGCUAGGGGUGAAAGGCCAAUCAAACUCGGAAAUAGCUGGUUCUCCGCGAAAUCUAUUUAGGUAGAGCGUCGGGCGAAUACUCCAGGGGGUAGAGCACUGGAUGGGCUAGGGGUCCUUACCGGAUUACCAAACCUAACCAAACUCCGAAUACCUGGAAGUACUACCCGGCAGACACACCAUGGGUGCUAACGUCCGUGGUGGAGAGGGAAAAAACCCUGACCGCCGUCUAAGGUCCCUAAAUUGUGGCUAAGUGGGAAAGGAUGUGGGGUCCCCAAAACAACCAGGAGGUUGGCUUAGAAGCAGCCAUCCUUUAAAGAAAGCGUAACAGCUCACUGGUCUAAAUAAGGGGCCCUGCGCCGAAAAUGUACCGGGGCUAAAGCCACAUACCGAAGACGCGGGUGCAUGCUUGCAUGCGCGGUAGCGGAGCGUUCCGUAAGCCUGUGAAGGGCGACCCGUGAGGGCGCCUGGAGGUAUCGGAAGUGAGAAUGCUGACAUGAGUAACGAUAAACAGUGUGAGAGACACUGUCGCCGAAAGUCCAAGGGUUCCUGCGUAAAGUUAAUCUGCGCAGGGUUAGCCGGCCCCUAAGGCGAGGGCGAAAGCCGUAGUCGAUGGGAACCACGUUAAUAUUCGUGGGCCAGUGGGAAGUGACGAACGCCGAAAGUUGUCAGGGCUUAUUGGAUUGUCCUGGCAGCGUAGGAGUUCCAGGAAAUAGCUCCCACAUUAGACCGUACCCUAAACCGACACAGGUGGACUGGUAGAGCAUACCAAGGCGCUUGAGAGAACGAUGCUGAAGGAACUCGGCAAAUUGCACGCGUAACUUCGGAAGAAGCGUGACCUCUUCGUGGGCAACCAUGGAGGGGUGGCACAGACCAGGGGGUAGCGACUGUUUACUAAAAACACAGGGCUCUGCGAAGCCGCAAGGCGACGUAUAGGGUCUGACGCCUGCCCGGUGCCGGAAGGUUAAGAGGAGAGGUGCAAGCUUUGAAUCGAAGCCCCGGUAAACGGCGGCCGUAACUAUAACGGUCCUAAGGUAGCGAAAUUCCUUGUCGGGUAAGUUCCGACCUGCACGAAUGGCGUAACGACUUCCCCGCUGUCUC
rnacentral:rRNA from 1 species